rnacentral:rRNA from 1 species
AGCGAACGCUGGCGGCAGGCUUAACACAUGCAAGUCGAACGGGCACUUCGGUGCUAGUGGCAGACGGGUGAGUAACACGUGGGAACGUACCCUUCGGUUCGGAAUAAUUCAGGGAAACUUGGACUAAUACCGGAUAAGCCCUUGGGGGAAAGAUUUAUCGCCGAUAGAUCGGCCCGCGUCUGAUUAGCUAGUCGGUGAGG